rnacentral:lncRNA from 1 species
AUGCAUGAGGUUUUGAUAUCUUUCACCUGUAAAAAAAACACACUAAUUUCACCAGCAGCGAGUACAAAUUCACUCAUCAGUACACUGUGCUUAUCUUUGCAGGUCGGUGUUAGGCCUCAAGGAGCCUGCCAAGUGCUUGUCUGUGCUGACCUCGACCUGCCUGUGAGGGAUCUGGUUUGUGUUUAUGAAAAUACAGGGGAAAAAAAAGAUGCUGUGAAAGUGAAGAACAUAUUGUUAAGAAUGAGAAUUUCCUGGCAGGCAGUCCUUCGAGGUCAUUUUAAUUUUCCAGACAUCUUCAUCAGCUGUUAUAAACCGAUAGCAGUUAUUACUUGGAAAUGGAAAUUAUUGAAAACGUAUAGAGAAAUUCCAAGUUUGUACAGUGAGUCUAUGCAGAAUCCUACAAAUCCUGUGAAACUAAGGUUGGAGACUGCGUUGAUAAGAAGUAGAUGGUGUUCAGUUCUGCUUCUUAAACAGCAAUCUACUUUGAAACUAAAUCGCUGGCCUGUUCACAGAAGAAAAUUCUUUGGUCUCAAGGCUUUUGUAUUCAAUUGGGAGGUUGGACUGUGCUCCAACAAACAGAAUUAUUCAGCAAGUCAUUGCCUUCAAGAAGUAAUGUGUAACACCUUGUUUUGUUCCUUGGUUCAAAAGGCACUGUCACUGUUGUACACCAGUGUUUAA